AGACCCGAAACCCGGUGAUCUAGCCAUGGGCAGGUUGAAGGUUGGGUAACACUAACUGGAGGACCGAACCGACUAAUGUUGAAAAAUUAGCGGAUGACCUGUGGCUGGGGGUGAAAGGCCAAUCAAACCGGGAGAUAGCUGGUUCUCCCCGAAAGCUAUUUAGGUAGCGCCUCGUGAAUUCAUCUCCGGGGGUAGAGCACUGUUUCGGCUAGGGGGCCAUCCCGGCUUACCAACCCGAUGCAAACUGCGAAUACCGGAGAAUGUUAUCACGGGAGACACACGGCGGGUGCUAACGUCCGUCGUGAAGAGGGAAACAACCCAGACCGCCAGCUAAGGUCCCAAAGUCAUGGUUAAGUGGGAAACGAUGUGGGAAGGCCCAGACAGCCAGGAUGUUGGCUUAGAAGCAGCCAUCAUUUAAAGAAAGCGUAAUAGCUCACUGGUCGAGUCGGCCUGCGCGGAAGAUGUAACGGGGCUAAACCAUGCACCGAAGCUGCGGCAGCGACGCUGAUGCGUUGUUGGGUAGGGGAGCGUUCUGUAAGCCUGUGAAGGUGGCCUGUGAGGGUUGCUGGAG
rnacentral:rRNA from 1 species